UACGGGAGGCAGCAGGGGGGAAUAUUGCACAAUGGGCGCAAGCCUGAUGCAGCCAUGCCGCGUGUAUGAAGAAGGCCUUCGGGUUGUAAAGUACUUUCAGUCGUGAGGAAGGUGUUAAGGUUAAUAACCUUAGCAAUUGACGUUAGCGACAGAAGAAGCACCGGCUAACUCCGUGCCAGCAGCCGCGGUAAUACGGAGGGUGCGAGCGUUAAUCGGAAUUACUGGGCGUAAAGGGCACGCAGGCGGUUAAUUAAGUUGGAUGUGAAAUCCCCGGGCUUAACCUGGGAAUGGCAUUCAAGACUGGUUAGCUAGAGUCUUGUAGAGGGGGUAGAAUUCCAUGUGUAGCGGUGAAAUGCGUAGAGAUGUGGAGGAAUCCGGUGGCGAAGGCGGCCCCUGGACAAAGACUGACGCUCAUGUGCGAAAGCGUGGGGAGCAAACAGGGAUUAGAUACCCGU
rnacentral:rRNA from 1 species